GCUGGCGGAAGGCCUUGUCCAAAGCCGGCACUGCAGCACCGGUGCUCGAACGAGUGAGACAGAACGGGAGAAUUGGAGAAUCUCUGCGAGUGGAGACCAGGUUUUAUGGAAAGGAAGGAAAAAGUUGUGGCCCAAGAUGGGGGUGCUGGAGUUUAAGAUUUCACAGGAGACGUUUCAGGGGUCACGCACUCACCUAGACCUGUGUGACGUGCAUGUGCGGGAGCUUGUGAUGGUCACACAGUCAUGACAUGAAGAGAGCCAUGGGGAGGAGGCACAGGAAGUGGUGGGUGCUGGGGCGCAAUAUGAACAUUCAGCACCAAACAAGGGACAAAAGGUUCCUGGCCACCCUUGCGGUCAGAGUUCCACUGUGUGACCUGUUGUCACAGGUGCCACCUGCAAGGGCCAGGUAAAGCCCUCAUGGAGUUGGGCAGAGGCACAGACCGAUGGUAAUAAUUUAAUAAUAAAUCACUAUUAAUUAUUUUAAUUAUUAAACAAAAUAUAUUACUAUUUGGUUAACUAUUAAACUACUAAUGAUGAUACUUAUGAAUUAAUGGCUUGGGAUGAUCGUGACGGUCACCGCAAUAAUGCUAUACUGAAGGAAUUUUUUGUGUGCCAAUAGACUAAUUAGAAAACAUUUGAGGUAUAUAAUUGUGAUUGCAGGACUGAUGUGUAGUGGAAAACAAAAAAUAAGCAUGCAGGUGUCAAAAUGCCAACUGUUAGCCUUGACCUCCAUGCUUGGCUGAAGGGCUCUCUGUCAUAAAGUGGCUUUGUGCAGCAAUGACCCAGCCUCCAGAGCCCUCACAGCUGAGGGCCAUAGACAGUGUGGACCUGCAGGAGGGAGCCUUGAGAGGGACGCUGAGAGAGGUUGGAUGUAGCACCUCCGGGGAGCAAGGCCAGAGGGACAAACCAGCAGAGGGUGACGCGAUGAGGGACGGGGGUCAGAAGCACGCAGAGUUGGCAGCAGAAAAGCCCUCAUGAGCCGCUGCCAAUUGCAAAGCCAGGCAUUGCAGUAUAACCACCAUGUAUUGAAGAGAUAGAAAUAGGGUCUCUAGGUCCCUGGCAACAUGGGC
rnacentral:lncRNA from 10 species